GAUGAACGCUGGCGGCGUGCCUAAUACAUGCAAGUCGAGCGAACAGACGAGGAGCUUGCUCCUCUGACGUUAGCGGCGGACGGGUGAGUAACACGUGGAUAACCUACCUAUAAGACUGGGAUAACUUCGGGAAACCGGAGCUAAUACCGGAUAACAUGUUGAACCGCAUGGUUCAACAGUGAAAGACGGUUUUGCUGUCACUUAUAGAUGGAUCCGCGUCGCAUGAGCUAGUUGGUAAGGUAACGGCUUACCAAGGCAACGAUGCGUAGCCGACCUGAGAGGGUGAUCGGCCACACUAGAACUGAGACACGGUCCAGACUCCUACGGGAGGCAGCAGUAGGGAAUCUUCCGCAAUGGGCGAAAGCCUGACGGAGCAACGCCGCGUGAGUGAAGAAGGUCUUCGGAUCGUAAAACUCUGUUAUUAGGGAAGAACAAAUGUGUAAGUAACUAUGCACGUCUUGACGGUACCUAAUCAGAAAGCCACGGCUAACUACGUG
rnacentral:rRNA from 1 species